AUGAGGCGUGCGCCGGCGGCGGAGCGCCUCUGCGAGCUGGGCUUUCCCCCGCGGCGCGGGCGCCAGGAGCCGCCUUUUCCGCUGGGUGUCACUCGGGGGUGGGGGGGAUGGCCCAUUCAAAAGCGCCGCGAGAGGGCCCGGCCAGUGCCCUUCAGUGAGCGCUCGCAGGAGGACGGGAGAGGCCCGGCGGCUCGCAGCUCCGGGACGUUGUGGCGCAUCAGGACGCGGCUGCCUUGCUGCCCGGACCCCGAGCCGCCGCCGCUCUGCUUUCUGCGCGUUAGCCUCUUCUGCGCGCUCCGGCCGGGCGGCCGCGGGAGCCGUUGGGGCGAGGACGGCGCGCGGCUGCUGCUGCUGCCCCCGGCCCGGGCGGCUGGAAGUGGAGAGGCCGAGCCGAGCGGCGGCCCCCCCUAUGCCGGGAGGAUGUUGGAGAGCAGCGGCUGCAAGGCGCUGAAGGAGGGUGUGUUGGAGAAGCGCAGCGACGGGUUGCUGCAGCUCUGGAAGAAAAAGUGCUGCAUCCUCACUGAAGAGGGACUGCUGCUCAUCCCGCCCAAGCAGCUGCAACACCAGCAGCAGCAGCAGCAGCAGCAACAGCCCGGGCAGGGGCCGGUCGAGCCGUCCCAACCCGGAGGCCCUGCUGUGGCCAGCCUCGAGCCGCCGGUCAAGCUCAAGGAAUUGCACUUUUCCAACAUGAAGACGGUGGACUGCGUGGAGCGCAAGGGCAAGUAUAUGUACUUCACGGUGGUGAUGGCCGAGGGCAAGGAAAUCGACUUUCGGUGCCCACAGGACCAGGGCUGGAACGCGGAGAUCACGCUGCAAAUGGUGCAGUACAAGAAUCGACAGGCCAUCCUGGCGGUCAAGUCCACGCGGCAGAAGCAGCAGCACCUGGUCCAGCAGCAGCCUCCGCAGCCGCAGCUUCAGCCCCAGCCCCAGCCCCAACCCCAACCCCAACCCCAGCCGCAGCCGCAUCCCCAAGCCCAGCCGCAACCGCAGCCGCAGCCUCAACCCAAGCCCCAGCCCCAGCCGCAGCCGCAGCAGCUCCAUCAGUAUCCGCAUCCGCACCCGCAUCCGCAUUCGCACUCGCUUUCGCACCCGCACCCGCACCCGCACCAACUACCGCACCCGCACCAACAACCGCUCUCGCAGUCGCACGGCCACCGGCUUCUCCGCAGCACCUCCAACUCUGCCUAAAGAGGGCAGCACCCGGGCCAGGCGAGGUUUUCAGGACUUGAGGAAGUGGGACGAGCACCUUUCUAUUGUCUUCACUUGGAUCAAAAACAAAACAGUCUCCCCGCCCCGCACCAGAUCAAGUAGUUUGGACAGAACCCGACUGAUAACUUGCGAUUCCGCUUAGUUUUCUGCGUACUCUUCAUCACAAUGCAGGAAAUGAUUUUGAGUCCAGAAGGCUUUAUUUAUGAACCUUUGAGAGGAUCUUCCAGUAUGGUGGACCUUCUAGGAGCGAUGAUGGCGAGUGACUUGGUUUUAGCUUGGCUCCAGGUGUCUACAGUGUCAUGUUCCGUGGCAGGUUGGCAAGAGGGAUCUAAGACUUGAAUGAAACUGGAGCAAUCUCAUAGAAAAUAGAGCUUCGCAUGAUGACGAUGGGCCUGUGAGCAUUCAUUUUCCUCUUUUUCUGGUAAAUGUCAAACUAAUUGGAUUUUGCUUUACCAAUAAAAUGCCCUCAGUAGAAUAAAAUUUAAAUUUGGGAAUUAUAGAGCUCGAUAUUAAAUCCAGUAGGGAUUCUUUCAAGGGAAAUACACCUGUUUACCUAAAGCAACCUAAGAUGUAUUAAUUGUGGAAUCACGUUGGAUGGGUUUUUAAGAACUAUUUUUUAAAUUCUUGACACAGUUUAAAGGGUGAAUUUUGAUCUGCGGUGCUUGAACAGCCAAUCUAGAUUUACACGGAUGGAUGACAGAGUGAUCUGUGACUUUGUUGGCAGGAUAUCUGCCAAAUGGAGUAUAGGAUCCAACAGGGUUUCUUAGGGCAUUAUUUUCCAGUGAAGGAAGCAGAAGGACCCUGGACCAUUAGAAGCAGCUGCAUAAAAACUCCUACCUGUUCUGAAGCUGGCCUACUGGUGAUCAGCUGGGUGGUGGGGAAGCAGAUUUUAACAACAGUGGUCCUUCAAGAUCAUUGUAUUUAUUUUGAGAAGAAAGAUGAAACAAUUGUCUGUUACAUUCCCCUGUCAACCUUCUGCUUAAAAUUUCAGAAUAUGCAAAUACCAGCUUUGAAAACAAGCAUCACCAUGUACCAAAAUGCUUUCCAAACUAUCACAUUUGUGAACUUAAUGAAGUAGUCAUAAUUUGUAUAAAUAUGAUUUUGGAGAGAUGUGAUUUAUUUUUCAUAUUUUCAAAAUGCAUUC